CUCUCUCUCUCUCUCUCUCUCUCUCUCUCUCUCUUUCUCUCUUUCUCUCAAAAAUUAAAAAAGAGGUUUGGCUUUUGAGGGACUUUGUCUCCUAAUUAAUUUGGGGCCCCUAUAAAAACUGACAGCUUUUGAAUUGCCUUCCUGGUCUAGGAAUAUCCUGAGCCACUUGCAAAUUAGUAUCUUAAUGAAAAGCCCCAUGUUGCAACUAGGAAAUAUUUUUUAAAAACGGGACUCAUUGGACCAGCAGCACUUCGCAGAGUUCUUAAGCCAGUAUCUGAUACGGGCCUUGGCUUUUACAGGUUUCGGGACUUGCUUUUCUCAGCUCAGCCUAUGCUGUGUGUAACAUUUUCCAAACUUCUGAGACUAAUUUAUAAACUAGAAUGACAAGUUCUUCAAUUUACAGUAAAAUGUUCCUGAUAUGUAAGUAAGAAAAUGAUGAUAAAGGUGUAUACUCAGGAGUCAGGAGGCCGGGGUUUGAAUCCUGGCCACACUGCUUCCUGGUUGUGUGUCCCUGUUUAGGCAAGUUACUUUACUCUGAGCCAGUUUUCUCAGCUAUCAAAGGCAGGUAAUAGGACCUCUCUCAUGGUUGUGAGGAGUGAAUGAAUUUGUACAUGUACAAUGCUGAAACUGCUUAGUACUGAGCAAGUGCUUAGUAAAUGAUAGCAAUUCUUUUAACUUACAUUGGGAGUACUUUCUCGUAGCAUCUGUACCCACUCAAGACUAAAUCAUAGAACAGAAAGUUGCUUGGCAAAUGUAAAAUUAGAAGAGAGAAAUGUAAAUGUUGUUUAGGAAAUCACUUCUGGGUCUUCUAAUGGAUACCUUCGAUUGAGGAUACUUCUGUCUACUUGACCAGUGAAGUCAUUUUAUUAGCCCUGCCUCUGUGUGGUCACAGUGAAAACACGGUCACAGAUAGUUACAGUAUUUCUCUUAAGGACACAUAAGAAUGGGAGGUAAUAGGGAGAUGUGCCUGUUUCGCAUCACAGACGUACAAGCUGUAGGAUGUGCAACAGAGUUCUUAGUGAAACAUGAGAUCUCGAUCACUGGAGUUGAGAUUCUCAGAUCCAACUCUUCGUUUCACUCUGUAGUUGUGCUUCUCAAACCACAGCUCAUUUUGAUGCUGUUCCAGGGAAGCAUUUCUAGAUCUGCUUUCUCAUCAUGUAUGAUAGAGUUGCUUUCGUGCUUGGCAAGCUGCUAAGGAGGAAAGAAACCGUCCUCAAGUGCCUGUGUCUGGCCUGCAUUUGAAGGCACAGAACCCAUCCAGCAAGAUCAGUGCAUUCUGUUGCCAUAGGAAUGUGGGAAAGACUGAUAAAUAGUGAUGCGUCUGAUUCUUUGACUCUCCUUCUGGUCUUUGUGCAAAUUGCUAUUUUUUUUUUUUUUUCUGGUGAAAUAAACCAUCUUGGUUGUCUUAAGAGUACAAGGAAUAGAUCUCAUCUUCAGUUAAUUACAUCGCAAGUCCGUUUUCCUAGUCCUCUGGAUAUAGUUUUAUAAAACACUCUACUCUUCAUAACUAUGAACUGUUUGAAGGAGGCGCUUGCCUAUUAUUUUAUCAACUCUGUUGAUUUUACUCUGAGAAGUGACAUAAUACGAGGGUCCCAGAGAGCCCAUCAUUAAAAAUCCUUACGAGGACAGCACCCCAGAGGACGGUAGAGCCACGAUAUGGCAGGAAGGACUCUGAGGAGCAGAGCACCCGGCUGCCUGACUGCUAACCGUGAGGCUGCAAACUCCCUAUGUCAUUUGAAGCUAGUAUCUUGAAGGCGAAUUAGGCAAAAGAAAAAGAUACCAGGAUGCUUUUCCAGCCAGUGUUUCCAUAUCAUCAUGACUUCCACGAUGGCUCUCAACGUCCUUUUAAGAAAGAAAACAAGAACAAAAAGCAAAGCAAAAUGAAAAACAAUAGACUGGAAAGAGCUUAUAUCCAUUUUUCCAGGAUGGAAACCAACCCACCAAGAACUGGAUCUUUUUAUUCUGCAAUUUAAACCAACUAAUAAAUAAAUGUUCUGUUACGUCUCACACAAUGUAAGUGGUAGGAGACAACAAACUGGUAACAA